rnacentral:lncRNA from 1 species
UUACAAUCGCCACUUCACACAAUACAUGAAUAAAGCAUUACAUCAUCCAAAUACAAUCAAGGUCCAACUACGGAACCAAAAUAAAAGAAGAACCCCAAAUGCGACAAAGGUCCCCGAUUGACCCCAACUGGGCUCCACUACUGAUCAACUAGAAUGAAACAACACAAAGGACAAGGUCUUCAUCGAGCUCCUCCUGAGCUUGGUUGCGUCAUCUGCACGGACUCAUCGGCACUUGCAAGCUGGUUUUGGAAGUAUCUGUGAGCCACAGGGACUCAGCAAUCUCGCACCCUCGCGAUCAAGACUAUUUAAGCUUAUGGGUAAGGUAAAAGGUAUGAGGUGGAGCUGCAGCAAGCGACUAGCAUAUAUGGUGGCUAACAUACGGAAAUGAGAGCGAGAAGAGAAGGCAAAGCACGGUCGAUACAAGUAUGAUCAAGAUGUGAUCCUAAAACAAACUACGUCAAGCAUAACUCCAACACCGUGUUCACUUCCCGGACUCCGCCGGAAAGAUACCAUCACGGUAACACACGCAGUUGAUUCAUUUUAAUUAAGGUCAACUUCAGGUUUUCUACAACCGGACAUUAACAAAUUCCCAUCUGCCCAUAACCGCGGGCACGGCUUUCAAAAGUUCAAAUCCCUGCAGGGAUGUCCCAACUUAGCCCAUCACAAGCUCUCACGGUCAACGAAGGAAUAGACCUCCUCCCAAGACAUUCCGAUCAGACUCGGUAUCCCGGUACAACAAGACAUUUCGACAGGGUAAAACUAAACCAGCAACACCGCCCGAAUGUGCCGACAAAUCCCGAUAGGAGCUGCACAUAUCUCUUUCUCAGGGCACACCGGAUCGUCCAAACUUCCGGUAGGCCAGCCCAGAGUUGNNNNNNNNNNNNNNNNNNNNNNNNNNNNNNNNNNNNNNNNNNNNNNNNNNNNNNNNNNNNNNNNNNNNNNNNNNNNNNNNNNNNNNNNNNNNNNNNNNNNNNNNNNNNNNNNNNNNNNNNNNNNNNNNNNNNNNNNNNNNNNNNNNNNNNNNNNNNNNNNNNNNNNNNNNNNNNNNNNNNNNNNNNNNNNNNNNNNNNNNNNNNNNNNNNNNNNNNNNNNNNNGGGGGGGGGGGGGUAAAAUAAUGAUGACCCUUGGGCGCGCGACCCCCAAGGGAAAAGAAAAAGGCUGGGUGGCGAAUGGUAAAACCAAUGUUGGGCAUUGCUGGAAGAGUUUUACUCAAGGCGAACUGUCAAGGGGUUCCCAUUAUAGCCCAACCACGUAAGGGACGCAAAAUCCGGGAACAUAACACCGAUAUGACGGAAACUAGGGCGGCAAGAGUGGAACAAAACACCAGGCAUAAGGCCGAGCCUUCCACCCUUUACCAAGUAUAUAGAUGCAUUAAUUAAAUAAGAUAUAUUGUCAUAUCCCAACAAGUAAACAUGUUCCAACCAGGAACAACAUCUCCAUGUUCCAACAAGGAACAAAACUUCAAUCUUCACCUGCAACUAACAAUGCUAUAAGAGGGGCUGAGCAAGCGGUAACAUAGCCAAUCAACGGUUUGCUAGGACAAGGUGGGUUAGAGGCUUGACAUGGCAAUUUGGGAGGCUUGAAAGCAAGUGGUAGGCAUCGUAGCAUUGGCAUAGCAAAAUAGCGAGCAAAUCUAGCAUAGCAAAGAUAGUAGUGAUUUCGAGGGUAUGAUCAUCUUGCCUGAAAUCCCGCAAGGAAGAAGAAUCAGUCCAUGAAGAAGAUAAACGGAUGUAUACGAACGGGUCCUCACAAACGCGACGUUACCGGAACCAACCCGAAGAAGCAACACCGGAAAGAAGCACACAACAUAGUAAACAACCACCACAAAAAUCAUGGCAUGAUGCACAACCAAGUAUGAUGCAUGACCGGUUUAAAGAAGCAUGGCAUGGCAAAGUGCACAAGCAAUCCUACAAAUUAAGUGGAGCUCAUUAUGCAACGAGUUGCAUAUUGACGAAAAAAACCACAUGACUUAUUUAGUUCUCUCUCGUUUAUGUACCCAACAAGAUUAAAUGUUGUUAGCAUGGCAAGAGGUGAAACAUAACAAAACUAUACCAUCUAAACAAUUUAAAUGGGGCCGGAUAUAACAAACAACAAAUCUGGUAAAUCCCCAUAUGCAUUUAUCAAUUUGGUGCAACAACAAUUUUAAACAUUUAAAUGUUAUUAUCAUGAUGCGAAUGACAUGAGCAAGUUUUAUGCAAUUUUUAUUAAGAGUUGACAUGAGCAUUAUGAAGCAUUUGGUCGUCAUGGCGGAACAAAAAGGGUGCCAUGCCAACUACCACAGAAAUGGUGCCACGACAACAUUCCGGGUGAUCCGACAACUCAUUGAGAUGUCGGUGCAAGAGAAAAUGUGGAUGAACGGAUCAUGCGAGGAUGGUGGGGUGAUCCCGGAUACCGGGUUUCCCAUGGGUCGACGACAUGGCAACCGAGGAGGAACGUGCAAUGACAACUCGAACACGGUUCGAACAUGAGCAUCCCAAACAUCGCAAGCAUUCGUUACACAGACGUCGUCUCGGGUUAUACCUUCGAAGUGUGCAAACGGGACGGUUCUCGAUUGGUGUCAAGUAGAGCAAGUAGACGUUCUCGGGACGUUCGUAGUGGAAGUAGUGGGGUACACGACGACGGUAGAGGUACUCGCGGCGGUAGUGGUACACGUUUGUUCCGGAGAGGUACUUGAUGACUCCAACGUCUUCGGGGUGACGGUAGUGGUACACGCGACGUCGGGGUACUUGUCGGUCCGGUCUUGGCGGCGUAGAUGUACACGUUGUCGGGGUACUUGUCACAUCAUCGGGUGUAGUUGUACAUGAGGGUCUUGACGAAUCCAAAGGGGUACUUGACGAGUCCGGCCUUGGUGAUUCAGGUUUCGUAGUGUCCUGGUACUUGAUGCAAAGAGGCAACGACUUGGCACGGUUCUGGUGGUCGAACAAGGCAGGGCAGCUCGGCCACGCGCGCUGCGGGCGGCAGAGGACAAGCAGAGGAGUAGCAGCGCGAGGGAAGGCAGCGACGCAGGCAAGGAGCAGCCCCAGCGGCGGAGCUCCAUGGGAGGCAUAGCCAUGCGCGGCUGCUGGAGAUCCUCAAGCAGAGAAGAAGCCGGCAGGCUGUGGUGCCCGGCGGCCCCGGCGACGCGGUAGGGCGGGCGAGCUCGACCCUCGCGCCCAUGGCGGCAAGGAGGAAGACCAUGGAGGAGGAGCAUGGGUCGCGGGCUCCUGGCGGGCAGAGUUAACGCAGGGGAGGCACUGGUUAUGGCGCGGCGGCGGGCUUGCCGGCAUCGGGGAUGAUGCAGGAGAGGAGAGGCCGGCGGCUGCGAUACAAGAAACAACCGAGGCGCAGCUUCUGGCCAUGGCGACGGGGUGGAACGGCGGUCCUCUGAGCUUGGCCGGCAGCGGCCAUGGAGAAUGGCGGUGCAGAGGCGGGGUAGAGGAAGGAGCGGGCGGCGACCUCUGCCAUGGCGCGAAGGCGGAGAUCGAGCGCGUGACUCUCGCUCCUCUCUGGCACACGAGCAGGGGAAGGAGACGAGGGAUGAGGGAGAUCGAGCGGAAGGUAGGCAGCGAGCGAGAGAAAAGGAUCGAGCACAGGGCUCCCUGGCUUGAUGCAAUCGAGAGAAGGACGAGGGAGACUGGCGGCGGCAGGGAACGAGGGGAUGCGGUCGGGAGAGGGUAGUGAGGGGAGAUGUUGGGCCUAGGGUUAGGGACUGCAGCGGGGCGCUGCUGGGGCUUAGAGGCCGCUAGACCUAGGUGGGCCGCGGGGAUGGCGCCUGCCUGGCAGGUUGUAGCUGGGCUAGGAGGCCCAGCCGGGCUCUUCUCUCUCCCAUCUCCUUCUCUUUACAAAAAAAACAAAGAAAAAAAGAAGGGAAAAGAGAGAAGAGAAGGUUAGAGGAAGAGUUUGGGCACGGGGGUAAUUUUUAUGGGCUCAGAAAAAUGUGCACGGUCCGGGAAAAUAGAAAAGGUCAAGUCUGAAAGAUUAAAUUCAAAUUCCUUUGAAUUUAAUUCAAAAGGUUUGAACUGGGACAGGUUUAUCAAAGUGCCCCAAAAUGUUGAGAAUUUAGGUGGAGCUCUGGGAAAUGAUGAAAGAAUAAAUGGCAAGGUUUGAGGUCAAGCUCGAAGAGGAAUAGACAUGGGAAUUAUUUUGCACGUGUGUUUAUGGGUGAUUCCGAAAAUGGAAUAUUUAAUAUAGCUCCAUAAUAUCGGGAGGAUAUGUUAUAAAGAGAAUCACCACGUGAAUUCCCUCGGUUUAAAUGGACCGAAGAUCCAUGCAAUUUCUUUAGUUGAGUUAAGAAAAGAAAUAAUAUGAUGGCGUGAUGGCAUGAUGCAAUGCACAUGAUGCAAUGAUGAAUGCAACAAACCAACAACUCACACGACGAAAACCCGGAAACCCUGGAAGGCACCUGAAGCUCCGGCCUUGGGGCGUCACAACACUCCACCACUAUGAGAGAAUCUCGUCCCGAGAUCUAGAAUGGCACCGGAGGGAAAAAAUGGAAAAUAAAGAGAAGAGGUAAAACUAAGUUGCUUCUUUGACGAAUGAGUGAAACCAAAGAACCUUGCGAGGUUGAAUAACUUGAAAGAAAGAAAAACAACAGAGAUGAACAAAGUUGAAAGCACUCCAUUAAGAAAGAGGAACAAGGAAGAACAAAUUCAGACAACACUCCGAUAUAAAAGAGAAGCAAAAUUUGAUAAGAUGAGAGAACUUGAAAAGAGGGCACGAUACUCCGGUUAAAGGGACAAUCAUAAGAAGAACAUGAUCUUUGAUGAAACAAGAUGAUGGUUGAAGAAAGCAACAUCACAAUGCCUCCGGAAUGAAAGAAUAGAAUAUAGAUAAUUGGAAAAGAAUGGAGAAGAAAAUGCCAUCUUAUGCCACAAAAGAGCUUGAGAAGGCAUCCUUAGGAAACAGGUCGAGCGGAGUUGUUGGAAAACCAACAACGAAAGGAAUAAGCUUGAUAUGGUCUUAUGGAAUACAUCUCAAAUUAUGAGGUGACAACCUGCCACUCACGGGAAGCAGAAUUGGAUUGAUAUGAACAAGGAGACGAGAAACUUAUAUCACCGGGAGGAUAAAUGAAGAACUUGGGUCCUUUAUAAGCACCAUAAUAGCAACAAUCCUUAGGGAAAAAUUUAGGUGAACUAUAACCCAAGAUAACUCAAUUGACGAGAUUGAUGGAUUUAAAAUAUCUCAUCCUUGACAACAUGUGAAUCAUGAAACAUGAACUCAAAUUAUCAAAAAUGACAUAAUACCACCUCUAUUGAUACGGAGGGAAGAAUUGCACUCCGGUUAGCAAGAUGAAGAAAACUUGAGCUCCUCGGAAAAGAAUCUCGAUGAAAACUUCGAGAAGGGAUAAAAUCCUUGAUGAACCAUCAUGUAAAACCUUCAUGAAGAACUCCGGUAAAACAAAAGAAUGAUCAAACGGAAAGAAAGGGUAGUUGAAAACACAAGGUGAAGCCUUGCAAUGAUAUAGAUGGAGCUUCGCGACGAGAUAAUGCGGAAAAGCUUGGAACUCCAGAAAAGAAAAGAUGAAACAAGUUCGACCGAGAAUUUUGAUGACGCUCUGGAAUAAGGAAGUGAAUUUACUCGAUGAAACAAGAAUAAUAAUUACAUUAUGCUUAUCCUUCACCAAUUAAAUUGAUGACAAUCAACGGAUUUGACAUAUUACUUAUUCUCGUAGAAAGGAUUAAGAUAGAUACAGCGCAAACUUGAGAAAGUCUUCCACGAACCACCGGAAGGAUUGAAACAACGAAUAAAUUGAUAUGAUAAUGAAGGAAAAGAAAUCUUUGGAGAACCACCGUAAGAAUUGAAAAAGAACGAAUAAAACCUAAAGAAACACCGGGAAGAAUUAAGCAAAUGAACGAAGACGCUUGAGAGAAUUUAGAUACAUGCGAGCGAAGAGAUCACGAGCUGAUUAGAGAUCACUUGAUGCACCGGUAAAAUUUGAGAAUGAUAGCUGAAAGCUGAGAAUGAAUAAACUCUGAGAUGAUGGACUACGGAGAAGCAAACUGAAAAGAAUCUUGAAAUGCUCCGGAUAGGUGAAAAUAAUUCUCACGAUCAAAAUAAUUACGAGAGGAUGGCAACAAGCUAGAAUCACGAAUCUUCGAGAUAUCUUUAGCACUGCGGAACAAAUGAAUAACGAAAAGUUAAUGAUUGAGAGGUGCACCGGCAAGAGAAGACAUUUGAAAAAAAGGAAAAGAAUAUGAUCAAACACCGAGAUCUUGAAUAGAAUCCACCGAGAAGAAAAUGAGUGAUGAGAGACGAACUAGUAGAACAACUUCUUGAGAACCACCAGGUAAGAAUAUUGACGAAAAGAAUGGAGAGGCUUCACAACAAUAAAAUGAUACUUGAAAAAGAAAUCUGGUUCCUUGAAGAAAAGGGUGGGAGGGAGGGAAAACAAAGGCAACUUGGGAUGGAAGAAAACAACACCGUUGAGAAGACUUGAGUUGAUCUUGCGAAUGUUGAAGUGAUCGGAUCCACUUGAAGAGAAGCACACCGGUUAAAAGGAUUGACAAAAACAAUCUUGAUGAUCAAGAAGGAUUGGUAUUCACAUAGAAAUAUGAGAACAACAUUUAGGAAAAGGUAUGGAAUCAACAUUUGACUUCGAAGCAACUCGAAUACCACAACUCAAAACAAAACAAGGAUUGGCUUGCAGAAUAAGCCAGAACAAACAUAUGAUAGAGAAUUCGUCCGAAGUUUUCGUGGUGGGGCCUACACGGGCUCGAUCGUACAACACCAUCAUGUACAAGGCAGUGCACAUGACAUACGAAGCGUCCCCGAGUCGGCAUAGCCAAGGACUCUUUAAGACACAACGAGACCACUGUAAAACCGACCGUGAAUAGGCGGACCACUAGACGUCGAACCCCAAUUUCAUAUCAUACAUCUGUCGGAAAGAUAUCCUAAGAACUACUUGAAUUCCCACCUAUGAAACUCCCGAACCUUUCCGGUUAUGCAAUCAGGUGUUGGGGAUACAGGGGAAGCAUAAUAUCUCACCCAAACUAACAAAUCCUACAUCCAGCUGUAUCCAUCCUCAACACAUAACCAAGAAACAUUCAGAAAUCAUCUACCUCAACCUUCGAAAAGCAUCCGUUAUACAAGUUAUGGCGAUACUCCUGAACUCCCGCCCCAGUACUGGGUGGCGUCGAGGUUAUCUCACCAACGAACUGCAUAAAAAGAUUUUCGAUGUCGGCGUACUAAACUCAGGUAUUCCAGAACUGCAACGAUAAAAUUAUGACGACAACACCUCAGAGCUCAACUCCCCGGGACACUUCCACAAAACCCCUGAUAGGAGGCACCAAGACAAUGUUCUCGUCAUAAAACCAUCGAAACGAUUCCAAGAUACCCGCGUGAUCCUAAAUUUUUUUUAGUGAAAUUUGAGAAGAGAAGAGUCAAAACUCUACGUCAGGAUGCCUUACCAGAGCGAUGAGGAGACUGGGAAGUAAAAAGAAUUCCUAAACUCUUCGAUAUAUAAUUCCUAAAUGACUCAAAACAUUUUUCUAGACACAACUCGGCCGCUAAAAACGAUCAAAAAAUGGGGCUCCUAAGGUCGGGGAAGGCUCUGAUUACCAACUUGUAACGCCCUCGAUGCGGCUAUAUCUCCCAUGUGUCGAAGCACGACUUAGAGGCAUAACCGCAUUGAAAGCAAUGUCGCAAGUGAGGUAAUCUUCACACAACCCAUGUAAUACAUAAGGAAAAAGAUACAUAGUUGGCUUACAAUCGCCACUUCACACAAUACAUGAAUAAAAAAUUACAUCAUCCAAAUACAAUCAAGGUCCAACUACGAAACCAAAAUAAAAGAAGAACCCCAAAUGCGACAAAGGUCCCCGAUCGACCCCAACUGGGCUCCACUACUGAUCAACUAGAACGAAACAACACAAAGGACAAGGUCUUCAUCGAGCUCCUCCUGAGCUUGGUUGCGUCAUCUGCACGGACUCAUCGGCACCUGCAAGCUG